rnacentral:rRNA from 1 species
AUGAACGCUGGCGGCGUGCCUCAUACAUGCAAGUCGAGCGAACGGACGAGAAGCUUGCUUCUCUGAUGUUAGCGGCGGACGGGUGAGUAACACGUGGAUAACCUACCUAUAAGACUGGGAUAACUUCGGGAAACCGGAGCUAAUACCGGAUAAUAUUUUGAACCGCAUGGUUCAAAAGUGAAAGACGGUCUUGCUGUCACUUAUAGAUGGAUCCGCGCUGCAUUAGCUAGUUGGUAAGGUAACGGCUUACCAAGGCAACGAUGCAUAGCCGACCUGAGAGGGUGAUCGGCCUCACUGGAACUGAGACACGGUCCAGACUCCUACGGGAGGCAGCAGUAGGGAAUCUUCCGCAAUGGGCGAAAGCCUGACGGAGCAACGCCGCGUGAGUGAUGAAGGUCUUCGGAUCGUAAAACUCUGCUAUUAGGGAAGAACAUAUGUGUAAGUAACUGUGCACAUCUUGACGGUACCUAAUCAGAAAGCCACGGCUAACUACGUG